UACGUAGGAGGCAAGCGUUGUCCGGAAUUACUGGGCGUAAAGCGCGUGUAGGUGGUGGGACAAGUCUGCUGUGAAAGCGCCUGGCUUAACCGGGCGAGGUCGGCGGAAACUGGCCGACUCGAGGACGGUAGAGGGGGGUGGAAUUCCCGGUGUAGUGGUGAAAUGCGUAGAGAUCGGGAGGAACACCUGUGGCGAAGGCGGCCCCCUGGGCCGGUCCUGACACUGAGACGCGAAGGCGUGGGGAGCGAACAGG
rnacentral:rRNA from 1 species